rnacentral:tRNA from 1 species
UAGGCAGAAGCCAGCAGGAUUAGGCAUUUAGCUGUUAACUAAAAUUUUACGGGAUCGAAGCCCGUCUGCCUAG